rnacentral:lncRNA from 1 species
AUGAAGAUUGUUACCCAUACAGGUGCAUCUGGGGCAUUGUCAAUGUCACCUGGCACAUUAAGCAUUGGACAAUGCUACUCUUUUAAGAAGAGAGAAUUAAUAGACCUGUGAUUUCAUUGGACAGAGAACUCCCUACUGUUGAAACUCCUUCAAAUUCAGAUCAGACAACUGAGGUCCGCAGUGGUGAAGUGUCUUGCCCCAAGUCACAGAGUAGUACCUGGAGAAACAGAAGUAUUACCUAUGCCCUCUGAUUCCAAAUUUAUUGCUCUAUUUUUCAUAACAUGCAAUUAUGUUAGACUAGAAUUAACUAGUCGAUCAUGGUAAAGUAGUUGGGAUUUGAAUAUGUAAGUAAAUUUAUUUACUUUCUCCUUCCUGUGUCUCGUGGAUUGACUUCUCAUAGAAGACAGUUUCUGUUAAGGAAGAAAUUCAGCCCUCUAAUGUCAAGCUCACAUUGACUUUCCUAUGUCUCAGGAGAACAUUUCUAACUGUCAGAAUGUGAACAACUAAUAACCCCAAAGAUUCUUUUUUGACAGCCCCUGGAGCUUAAAAAAAUCAUGUCAGAGACACAUUUCUGGCAUG